CACAGAUAUUAAGGUCCAUUCUUUAAGUGAGACAUUCAUCAAAAAGAAACAAGACCAGCUCAAUAAUGAUUGUUUCUAUGAGAUUCUGCAAGACAAAAUCACCAAUUUGUUGCGGGAUCGCGGUGUUCAGAAACAGCGCUACACCACCAUGAUCCAUGACAUGGCCUCCGUCUGUGACAGCUUUGGUGAUCUACUGCCAAUUAAAAAGGUUACCACUGGUGAAGCCAUCUCUGAACAUGCGGAAACUGGAUUCAUGUUCACUGGGAGCAAAACCAAUCCAUCUCGCCUUGAUGAGCUCGCUUUGUCUCUCCUGAAGAUCCUUCGCAACGGGAUCAUCUACGAGACCAAGCACGCCACCACUCCCUACUGAGGAGGCAACACACUAUAUCCACUGUAUAUACCACUCCACUGCUAUGGACUUCAUAUUGCAAUUGCAGAGAAUGCAGCAGCCUCACCAUCAAUUGGUGGAUUCUUUUGCGUGCUCCAGCAUCUAGCACGGCUAACUGUGUUAUAGCAGUUUCUUUUGGCACUAUUUUUUUGGGUGUUCCCUGGGCAACACCACUUACAGCACUGAUCCGGGGUGUGGUUCAGAGGGUGACUUUGUAUCCCCUUGGCAGACAAAUCUUGGAAACCAGCUUUAGAAGCAUAACAGAUUGCUGCAGCCUGCCACUCAACAAAAGUAUCACAUACAAAUGGUAUGGAACAGCAACCUGCCCAGUUCUGCUUCCUGGUUUCACCUUUGUGUGUCCGUAGUUCGCAAAAAUAGCUGCUGCAACUACGCCUGAUGGCCUGCUUAGUCUGUACUAGCGUGCACUGCAUCACGGAUGUUGGAUGCAGCUGCCAGUUUGUAAGCAAACCUGCAUGGCAGUAACUAUUGCCUAUGAUCCUUCGAACUGGUUCAUCACCGUGACUAUGCAAACUAUGUUUUCUGC